AAAAAGUCUUAGCACUUAGGGGUCCUGUUUUCAUUUCUAGUAGCCUGACACAUAGAGAAUAUCUCAAUAAUGAUAUUCUGAUUUAUCUGCUAUCUAAUAAUGUUCUCCUUGCUGGUAUUCCCAUUUAUUCAAGUUGGGUUUUUUUGCAUUCUACCUGUUGAUAUCCAAGCAAUUGAGGCAGUGCCAAAGCAAGUCCUGCUAUGUGUGCAGUCUGCUACUUUGUUUGUAUUAUUCACAGAGCUUUACUAAAAAGAGAAAUUAAAACACCAUCUAACUACAAACUGUGUGUUUCUCUUUAUUUUAGAGCAAUGUUUACCAUGGCAAUUUUGAGAAAGGAUCCAAUGAAUUCAAGCCAGUUCUCUGGGUACCAGUACUGGUCAGUGAGCAGGUUCAGAUGGCUAUGUUUUCACCUCCCUGUAAGUUUCACACAGUAAAUGCUAAUGUAAUUAUAAAAUAUCUGUGGGUGACCUUUCUGACCCCUGAGUAAUUUUGUUUGCUUUUGAUAUUUAGUCAUAGCAUAUAUUUAUCACCAGAGCAAAUUCAGUGUGGAGGUGGGCAAAAAUAUACUUAAGUAGCUCUUGACUCUUUGAAGCCAAUAGUAUCUGUUUGGUUUUGCUUGUUCACUCCUUGUAGUUUGUAGGAGUGUAACUAUCUCACAGAAGAUAGAUACUGAUUUUUUCCAUCACUGAUAGAAAGUCAAGAACAUUUC
rnacentral:lncRNA from 1 species